rnacentral:rRNA from 1 species
AUCGGCGCUUGCUGCUGCUUAACACAUGCAGUCGAACGGUAACAGGCCCUUCUGGGUGCUGACGAGUGGCGGACGGGUGAGUAAUGAGUAAGAAUCUGCCCUGUAAUGGGGGAUAACCCGGGGAAACUCGGGCUAAUACCGCAGACCCUCCAAGGAGGAAAGCGGGGGACCUUCGGGGCUCUCGCUAUGGGAUGAGCCUCCUUCCCAUUAGCUUGUUGGUGGGGUAAUGGCCUACCAAGGCAACCAUCUAUAUCUGGUCUGAGAGGGCGACCAUCCACACUGGGACUGAGACACGGCCCAUACUCCAACCGGAGGCAGCAGUGGGGAAUAUUGGACUAUGGGCGCAAGCCUGAUCCAGCAAUGCCGUGUGUGUGAAGAAGGCCUUAGGGUUGUAAAGCACUUUCAGCAGGGAGGAAAAACAUAGGGUUAAUACCCCUGUGUCUUGACGUAACCUGCAUAAGAUCCACCGGCUAACUCCUUGCCACCAGCCGCGAUGCUACAGAGGGUGCCAGCGUUAAUCGGAAUUACAGUGCGCAAAGCGCUCCUAGGCCGUUUGAUACGUCGGAUGCGACAGGAACUAUGCUUUACCUGGCAAUGGCAUCCGAUACUGUCAUGCUAGAGUAUGGUAGAGGACAAGCGGAAUUUCCACAUGUAGCGGUGCAAUGCGUAGAUAUCGUGGAGGAACACCAGUGGCGAAGGCGGCUUUCUGGACCAAUACUGAUCGCUGAGGUGUGAGAGCGUGGGGAGCAAACAGGAUUAGAUACCCGUGGUAGUGCACGCUGUAAACGAUGAGAACUAGAUGUUGGGAGGAUUAAACCUCUUAGUGUCACAGCUAACGCGUUAAGUUCUCCGCCUGGGGAGUACGGCCGCAAGGUUAAAACUCAAAUGAAUUGACGGGGGCCCGCACAAGCGGUGGAGCAUGUGGUUUAAUUCGAUGCAACGCGAAGAACCUUACCUGCUCUUGACAUGUGCGGAACCUUCCAGAGAUGGGAGGGUGCCUUCGGGAGCCGCAAGACAGGUGUUGCAUGGCUGUUGUCAGCUCGUGUCGUGAGAUGUUGGGUUAAGUCCCGUAACGAGCGCAACCCUUGUCCCUAGUUGCCAGCGAGUAAAGUCGGGAACUCUAGGGAGACUGCCGGUGACAAACCGGAGGAAGGUGGGGACGACGUCAAGUCAUCAUGGCCCUUAUGAGCAGGGCUACACACGUGUUACAAUGGCCGGUACAAAGGGCUGCUAACCCGCGAGGGGGCGCCAAUCCCAAAAAACCGGUCGUAGUCCAGAUUGGAGUCUGCAACUCGACUCCAUGAAGCCGGAAUCGCUAGUAAUCGCGGAUCAGAAUGCCGCGGUGAAUACGUUCCCGGCCCUUGUACAC